UUUGCAAUUUUUUUUUUAUAUAGGUGUUGGCACCGUUACCUAUUGGUUUUGCAGUGUUCAUGGUACAUUUGGCGACCAUUCACAUCACUGGUACAGGAAUCAAUCCAGCCAGAAGCUUCGGAGCUGCUGUUAUCUACAACAAAAGCAAAGCUUGGGAUGAUCAGUGGAUUUUCUGGGUGGGACCACUUGUAGGAGCAGCAGCUGCUGCAAUUUAUCACCAGUAUGUACUCAGAGCUGCAGCUGUCAAAGCUCUUGGAUCCUUCAGGAGCAAUGCAUGAUUACAGUUUCUGAUGA